rnacentral:lncRNA from 1 species
AAUCAAUAGUUCAUCUUUAUACCCCUUGACCAACAAUAACUUUCACCAUGUGUGCCGCAAAGGCUAAAGGCACCCAACAAUCAUAAAGACAAAUACAUUUACAACAACUUAGUCUUGAUGAUUGUACAAAUAACAAUGAUAUGAAGAAUGGACAAAAUAAGAAGAUAAAGAAUAAACAUUAGAGAUUUGCAAUUUAAUUUAUCCAGAGUCCAAAUUGUUAACACGAUAUUCAGAAAAUCAAUUAGAG